GACGAACGCUGGCGGCGUGCUUAACACAUGCAAGUCGAACGGAAAGGCCCUGCUUUUGUGGGGUGCUCGAGUGGCGAACGGGUGAGUAACACGUGAGUAACCUGCCCUUGACUUUGGGAUAACUUCAGGAACUGGGGCUAAUACCGGAUAGGAGCUCCUGCUGCCUGGUGGGGGUUGGAAAGUUUCGGCGGUUGGGGAUGGACUCGCGGCUUAUCAGCUUGUUGGUGGGGUAGUGGCUUACCAAGGCUUUGACGGGUAGCCGGCCUGAGAGGGUGACCGGCCACAUUGGGACUGAGAUACGGCCCAGACUCCUACGGGAGGCAGCAGUGGGGAAUAUUGCACAAUGGGCGGAAGCCUGAUGCAGCAACGCCGCGUGCGGGAUGACGGCCUUCGGGUUGUAAACCGCUUUCGCCUGUGACGAAGCGUGAGUGACGGUAAUGGGUAAAGAAGCACCGGCUAACUACGUG
rnacentral:rRNA from 1 species